CGGGGUGUAGCGCAGUUGGCUAGCGCGCAGCGUUCGGGACGCUGAGGUCGGAGGUUCAAGUCCUCUCACCCCGACCA
rnacentral:tRNA from 1 species